rnacentral:rRNA from 1 species
AUUGAACGCUGGCGGCAGGCCUAACACAUGCAAGUCGAGCGAGCGGCGGACGGGUGAGUAAUGUAUGGGGACUGCCCGAUAGAGGGGGAUAACUACUGGAAACGGUAGCUAAUACCGCAUACUAUCGGAUAACCCAUAUGGGAUUAGCUAGUAGGUGAGGUAAUGGCUCACCUAGGCGACGAUCCCUAGCUGUUCUGAGAGGAUGAGCAGACACACGGGGACGUAGAAACGGCCCAGACUCCUACGGAGGCAGAAGUGGGGAAUAUUGCACAAGGGGCGCAAGCCUGAUGCAGACAUGCGGCGUGUAUGAAGAAGGCCUUAGGGUUGUAAAGUAUUUUCAGUCGGGAGGCGUUACCGACAGAAGAAGCACCGGCUAACUCCGGGCCAGAAGCCGCGGUAAUAC